GAUGAACGCUAGCGGCAGGCUUAAUACGUGCAAGUCGUGGGGCAGCAGGUUUGUAGCAAUACAGAUGCUGGCGACCGGCAAACGGGUGCGGAACACGUACACAACCUUCCUUUAAGUGGGGAAUAGCCCAGAGAAAUUUGGAUUAAUACCCCGUAACAUUAUGAUGUGGCAUCACAUUAUAAUUAUAGCUACGGCGCUUAAUGAUGGGUGUGCGGCUGAUUAGGUAGUUGGCGGGGUAACGGCCCACCAAGCCUGCGAUCAGUAACUGGUGUGAGAGCACGACCAGUCACACGGGCACUGAGACACGGGCCCGACUCCUACGGGAGGCAGCAGUAAGGAAUAUUGGGCAAUGGAGGAAACUCUGACCCAGCCAUGCCGCGUGGAGGAUGAAGGUCCUCUGGAUUGUAAACUUCUUUUAUAUGGGACGAAAAAGGGUCUUUCUAGGUCAACUGACGGUACCAUAUGAAUAAGCACCGGCUAACUCCGUGCCAGCCGCCGCAGUAAGAC
rnacentral:rRNA from 1 species